GGCAACAUGAGAGCCUAACUGUCUCUUAUAACAAAUCAAUUAAACUGAUCUUCUAGUACAAAAGCUAGAAUUCCCCCAUAAGACCAGAAGACCCUGUGAAGCUUUAAUUAACCUAUUAAACCCCAUAAUAGCUAAUUUCGGUUGGGGCGACCUUGGAACAAAAGAAAACUUCCAAACAUGCAACUCACUCGCACCAAAGGCUAACAAGCCACUAUUAGACCCAGUACAUCUGAUAAAUGAACCAAGUUACUCCAGGGAUAACAGCGCUAUCUUCUUCAAGAGCCCAUAUCAAAAAGAAGGUUUACGACCUCCAUGUUGGAUCAGGACAUCCUAGUAAUGCAACAGUUUCUAAGGGUUCGUUUGUUCAACGAUUAACAGUCCUACGUGA
rnacentral:rRNA from 1 species